rnacentral:tRNA from 1 species
GGAGUAGUACUCAAGAGGCUGAAGAGGUGUCACUGCUAACGACAUAGGGGGUAAUACCCGCGAAGGUUCAAAUCCUUUCUACUCCG